rnacentral:rRNA from 1 species
AGAGUUUGAUCAUGGCUCAGGAUGAACGCUAGCGGCAGGCCUAAUACAUGCAAGACGAACGGCAAGAUUUUUAGCAAUAAAGAUCCUAGAGUGUCGUAAGGGUGCGUAACACGUAUGCAAUCUGCCCUCAACAGGAGGAUAGCUCCCCGAAAGGGGAAUUAACACUCCAUAAGAUCAUGGUGCGGCAUCGCACAGUGAUUAAAACUACGGUGGUUGAGGAUGAGCAUGCGCAUGAUUAGUUAGUUGGCGGGGUAAUGGCCCACCAAGACGAUGAUCAUUAGGGGAACUGAGAGGUUGAUCCCCCACACUGGCACUGAGAUACGGGCCAGACUCCUACGGGAGGCAGCAGUAGGGAAUAUUGGACAAUGGGUGCGAGCCUGAUCCAGCCAUGCCGCGUGCAGGAAGACGGCUUUCUGGGUUGUAAACUGCUUUUGCCAGGGGAUAAAACGUCCAUGCGUGGAUAAUUGAAGGUACCUGGUGAAUAAGCCACGGCUAACUACGUGCCAGCAGCCGCGGUAAUACGUAGGUGGCAAGCGUUGUCUGGAUUUAUUGGGUUUAAAGGGUGCGUAGGCGGUUUUAUAAGUCAGUGGUGAAAUACAAUAGCUUAACUAUUGAGGUGCUAUUGAUACUGUAAGACUUGAGUACAGACGAGGUAGGCGGAAUUGACGGUGUAGCGGUGAAAUGCUUAGAUAUCGUCAAGAACACCGAUAGCGAAGGCAGCUUACUAGACUGUAACUGACGCUGAGGCACGAAAGUGUGGGGAUCAAACAGGACUAGAUACUCUGGUAGUUCACACUGUAAACGAUGAUUACUCGAUGUUGGCGAUACACAGCCAGCGUCUUAGCGAAAGCGAUAAGUAAUCCAUCUGGGGAGUACGCCUGCAAGGGUGAAACUCAAAGGAAUUG